rfam:Procavia capensis cont1.17952, whole genome shotgun sequence.
UUCUCGGGCUUCUGGAGUGAGUGAUGGUGUGGGUUGCCGGCUGUAGUUACUCCACUCAGCGCAGAGUGGCUGCGGGGAAUGUAUUCAGACAUCCCCCAAGACGUCUGCCCUGGGUGAGACAGAUGCCUCUGAGGU